UGAUAUCGGUCGAACAGGAUCUGGCGUGC
rnacentral:sRNA from 1 species